rnacentral:rRNA from 1 species
GAUGAACGCUGGUGGCGUGCCUAACACUUGCAAGUCGAGCGAUUCUCUUCGGAGAAGAGCGGCGGACGGGUGAGUAACGCGUGGGUAACCUGCCCUGUACACACGGAUAACAUACCGAAAGGUAUGCUAAUACGAGAUAACAUGCUUUUAUCGCAUGGUAGAAGUAUCAAAGCUUUUGCGGUACAGGAUCGACCCGCGUCUGAUUAGCUAGUUGGUGAGGUCACGGCUCACCAAGGCGACGAUCAGUAGCCGACCGGGGAGGGUAAUCGGCCACAUUGGAACUGAGCCACGUUCCAAACUCCUACGGGAGGCAGCAGCGGGGAAUAUUGCACACUGGGCGAAAGCCUGAUGCAGCACCGACGCGUGAGCGAUGAAGGCCUUCGGGUCGUAAAGCUCUGUACUCAAGGAAGAUAAUGACGGUACUUGAGGAGGAAGCCCCGGCUAACUACGUG